GAGGCAAUAACAGGUCUGUGAUGCCCUUAUAUGUCCUGGGCUGCACGCGUGCUACACUGAUACAUACAACAAGUGCCUAGCCUGCUAAGGUAUGGCAAUCUCUAAUAUGUAUCGUGAUGGGGAUAGAUCUUUGCAAUUAUAGAUCUUGAACGAGGAAUUCCUAGUAAGUGCAAGUCAUCAUCUUGCAUUGAUUAUGUCCCUGCCCUUUGUACACACCGCCCGUCGCUCCUACCGAUACCGGGUGAUACGGUGAACCUUUUGGACCGUAUAUCGGGAAGAUAAGUAAACCUUAUCACCUAGAGGAAGGAGAAGUCGUAACAAGGUUUCCGUAGGUGAACCUGCGGA
rnacentral:rRNA from 1 species